rnacentral:lncRNA from 1 species
UAUCGAAGAAAAAGACAAAAAAAGAAAAAAAAUCAAAAAAGAAAAAGAAAAAGAAGAAUCAAAGAAUCAGAAAAAAUUGAAGAAUAAGAAGAAGAAUCGAAUAAGAAAAAGAAUCAGAGAAGAAGAAAAAAAUGACUAAAAAAUGAAGAGCGAUGAACGAAUAAUGACGAACGAUGAACGUAGAAACCCAGGUGAGUUUCUUCAUUUUAUUAUUAUUGGACGAAAAGUUUAACAACAUAUUUUAUCUGCUUUUAGAUUUAACUGGGGAUAAAAUUCGUUGUUAGCUUUAACAGUGAAUUUUAUCCGCUAUUAGUUUUAACGGGGGAUAAAAUCUAUUGUUAGCUUAAUAGGGGANNNNNNNNAUUAGCGCAGAAAAAUGUGUGUUUUAUUAACCCAGCGGAUAAAAAUCCGUCGUUAGCUUAUUUACCAUUACUUAACCUAACAGAGGAUUUCUAUCCGCCGUUAGGAUUUCUAACAGCGGACUAUCCGCUGUUAAACAUGCAGUUUCUUAUAGUAUACUUCCCUGACUGAUUUAUUGAUUCAGUUGAAGGUCAUUUCUCUUCCGUUAUGUUCAGUAUUGGGAUAAAUGGUGGAGUUGUGGGUUACUAUGGAGAUAAGAAAGGUUUGAGACAAAAUGACCCUCUUUUCCUUGCCUUGUUUUUUAUUUGUAUGGAACUGUUACCUUGCUUGAUACUAAAAGCGACUUGUCAGGAUUCCAUUCCCUUUAACCUAAAGUGAAAAAAGCUUGAUAUUACACUGUUAUAUUUUGCUGAUUAUAUGACAUGAUCAUAAUUGGAAAGCUCCCUCUAUAAAUAAGCACUAUUUAUUAUUUGGUUGGUCUUGCAAAAUCGUCUGAUUACCAAAUUUCAGAUGCUGUCUUGGGAGUUUAGUUAAGACAUUUUAUGUCUCCUUUGAGAUUGAAAUUGAUGCAAUUGAACAUAUUUUUUAUGCUUGUGUUUAUAUUCAGCUGAAUAGGUCCUAUUGUUUUAGCAAUUCUAUCUCUUCUAUAAGUAAUGAGGUUGAAAUUGGAGCUCAAUAUAAGGGGUGCUCAUUUUGAUUGUUCAUUCAGGUUGUUUUGUAGGGCCAUGUUUAGUAGUAUAUAGAUCUUAUAUUUUCAAUUUUUAAUAUUUUCAUUUUUCAAUAUUUUUUUGAAUUAAACCAAGGGAGACUAGAUAAAUUCUAAAAGUUUUCACAAUUUUGUAACUCUUAGACUCUACUAGACUCGAACGGUUGGGAGAAGCCACCGGAAAAUCAAAAUGGAGGGGUCAUGCUAGAGUAUGGGAGAAAGAAGAGAUGGGUGAUUUCAGUGCCGCGUUAGCAUGGAGUCAGCGCCAUUUUGGGAGUUAGAAGGUGCAGUGUCAUUAAAAUAAAACUACGUCGUUUCGUUAGGUGCUGGAAAAAUAAGCUAAGGAUGUGAUCGAAGCUCGAUCCUAAACCAUUGAACUACUGGUUCAAUCCAUGCAACACCACUCAGGCCUAUCACCACACUCAACCGGAAUAUAAUGCAUAAUAAAUAGGGGAACUUCACAUGAAAAGGUUUCAAUUACCACCCUGCUAAGGGGUGGCAGUUUUAUCCAAAUUCGUGGAUAUUCAUUCG